AGACCAGACUCCUACGGGAGGCAGCAGUGAGGAAUAUUGGUCAAUGGUCGGGAGACUGAACCAGCCAAGCCGCGUGAGGGAGGAAGGUACAGGGUAUCGUAAACCUCUUUUGUCAGGGAACAAAGGCGGGGACGUGUCCCCGGAUGAGUGUACCUGAAGAAAAAGCAUCGGCUAACUACGUGCCAGCAGCCGCGGUAAUACGUAGGGAGCAAGCGUUGUCCGGAUUUACUGGGUGUAAAGGGUGCGUAGGCGGCUUUGCAAGUCAGAAGUGAAAUCCAUGGGCUUAACCCAUGAACUGCUUUUGAAACUGCAGAGCUUGAGUGGAGUAGAGGUAGGCGGAAUUCCCGGUGUAGCGGUGAAAUGCGUAGAGAUCGGGAGGAACACCAGUGGCGAAGGCGGGUUCCUGGACAUUAACUGACGCUGAGGCACGAAGGCCAGGGGAGCGAAAGGGAUUAGAUACCCUAGUAAG
rnacentral:rRNA from 1 species